rnacentral:rRNA from 1 species
UACGUAGGGUGCAAGCGUUAAUCGGAAUUACUGGGCGUAAAGCGUGCGCAGGCGGUUUUGCAAGACAGAUGUGAAAUCCCCCGGCUUAACCUGGGAACUGCAUUUGUGACUGCAAGGCUAGAGUGUGUCAGAGGGAGGUGGAAUUCCGCGUGUAGCAGUGAAAUGCGUAGAGAUGUGGAGGAACACCGAUGGCGAAGGCAGCCCCCUGGGCUAACACUGACGCUCAUGCACGAAAGCGUGGGGAGCAAACAGG